rnacentral:rRNA from 1 species
GAUGAACGCUGGCGGCGUGCCUAAUACAUGCAAGUCGAGCGGACCAAAGAGAGCUUGCUCUCUGAGGUUAGCGGCGGACGGGUGAGUAACACGUGGGUAACCUGCCUGUAAGACGGGGAUAACUUCGGGAAACCGAAGCUAAUACCGGAUGAUAAAGAGAAACGCCUGUUUCUUUUUUGAAAGUCGGCCUUGUGCUGACGCGUAUAGAUGGGCCCGCGGCGCAUUAGCUAGUUGGUGAGGUAACGGCUCACCAAGGCGACGAUGCGUAGCCGACCUGAGAGGGUGAUCGGCCACACUGGGACUGAGACACGGCCCAGACUCCUACGGGAGGCAGCAGUAGGGAAUCUUCGGCAAUGGACGAAAGUCUGACCGAGCAACGCCGCGUGAGCGAUGAAGGCCUUCGGGUCGUAAAGCUCUGUUGUCAGAGAAGAACAAGUACCGGAGUAACUGCCGGUACCUUGACGGUACCUGACCAGAAAGCCACGGCUAACUACGUGCCAGCCGCCGCGGUAACAC